UAUCUAAUAGUAACAGUAUACCUUCAUAUUUGUAUGGCAUAACUUUUUUUAUUACUAUUAUAUUAAUUACAAGAUAGGAUAAACCGAGGCGGUCACACAUGGGAAGGAUUCAUUCCCAUUUGUCCCCGCCAGGCGUAGAUGGGAAUGACCCUAUUCCCAUCUGUUCCUGCCGGGGGCAGAUGGGAAUGAGAUAUUCUCAUUUGUGCCUGCCCCCCGAUUAGGGGGUUAUAAUUAUAGAUGUUUGUUAUUUUAUUGGUUUUCCGGAUACAUAAGUAGCAGCCCUCGUAUGUAGUUAGAUCGUAGCAUAAUGUACAGAGGUACCUAGUCGAAGUUCGUAUAAUAAAAUAAAUAAAUAAAAUCUUUUUUCAGAGACAUAUAAAGAUGAUGUCAUAUGGUUAAAAAACAAUUGUGAGCCUUGGGAAGAUGUUAUUAAUAAGUGGAAAUCUUCAUUUGAACUUCGGCAGCUGCAACAAUUUGAAACCGUGGGUGAAUUUAUAAAAUAUUGGCCUACAUUAAACGACACUAAAAGCGAUGUCUUGAUCCAUUUAGAUUUCGAUAGGAUGUAUGGUCCCGAUAAAACCAAUUCUUUACAUAUUAAAUGGUGUGAAUUUAUGCAAAAGAUAGAGCAAAUUAAAAACACGGUCUGUAACGAUGAGAACACAAAGACUCUGUCGAAUAAUAUCAACAAAUUAACGGAUAAUGAUGACAAACUUCCACUACAAAUCAAACUUCUGUGCCGAUUGGUGCCUCCAAAGGGUCGCUUAAACAGACGCCAAAAAUUUUCAAUAGCAGAGUGCAUAGACAGCUUUAUUGUUGACGUUAAGACGCCUGGCGAUAUUCAAACGCAUAUCGAUAAACUUGCUUCGGUCGCUGCAUCGGAAAAAAAGACGGUACAACCUUACAUAAUACGCUGCUCAACCGACAGUACUGGGGGACCUUAUUAUCUGAUUAUAGACAAAGUAAGGUACGUUUACCAAAAAGUGCUUAUAAAGCCAUCGAUACACUGUUCAAGUGUUAUCACACACUUCACGUGUCUUAUCCAAACGCAGGCUACCAUCUGUAUUUACUGAUUCAGAAAUGUGUUUAUAAUAUAAGUACAAAAUACGACGUGAUACCGCCUUACAUUUCAGACUUAGUUUCCA